UUUAUAAGUUGCUAGCUAUCCCAUAAAGCCACCACCGAAAACCACAUAUUUUCAUCUUCCUCUGAAGACGAUGCAAAGUUUAAAACAAUUCUAAGUAUGCUGCGUCCAUCUAACAACGGAGCCUUCAACAGCAAGGGGGCGUUGUGUUUCCAAUCUGUUGUGGACAUCCCCAUUGAAAUGUAGUACAUCUGGCGCAAUGUAACAGAGUGCUUAUGGGUAAUGCAAACUUUAGAGGCUUUAGGGUUGUCAGACAAUUUUUGGGCCAAACUUAGCUCAAAUUCUACACGUCGGAAUAAAACGAGGCUACAGCGUCCAUAAGGUAACCAUUAAGCCUCGUUCACAUUACCCAUAAGCACUCCAUACAUUGUGCUGGAUGUCAUGCAUUUCAAUGGGGACGUCCACAAUGGAGUGGAAUUACAUCGCCCCCUUGGGGUUGAAGGCGCCGAUGCAAGAAGGACACUACGUAAUUUGACAUUUUCCAAACUUUGUUUUGUCUUCAGUCCAGCCAGAGUCCGAAUGUUACCAAACCACAGAAGAAGAUGAAAAUAUGUGGUUUUCGUUGAUGGAUGAUGGCUGCAAUCCACUCCCAGUUAAGCGGGGUCCGUUCAGGCCUCCGUCAGCUCCACAAUGCCUUGGGGGAUGUGAUGGACAUCCAGAACUCCCUGCCCGGUAGAAGUCAGCAAUGACUGGAGGCAAAACAUUAACACCAUUGAGAACCUGAAGUACGUAAAAUAUGCUGGGACGCAACAUCAGCGGAGGCUCCUCAGAAGAGGAAGACAAUACUGCUUGGUGACCUACAGAUUAUUUUUGGAGAUGGUUAUCGGUGCGGAGAAGCUAGGCACAAGACACUGAAUUCCCUGAAAACAUUUCCAGCGCCUACUUCAGUCCAAGUCAAGCACUGGUCUAACUGAAUGUGGAUGUUGUGUUGGCUGAAUGUUCCAGGCACGCUCCAGAAUGUUCUUCUGCUGGUGAACCUUGUCUUGUGUUGGGCAAUGGCAGCUGGUCUGGCAGAAGUUCAUGAGCUCCAUGACCUUGGACUCAUAGACUUUGGCUCUUGCCAGCCCCAUGCAGUCAACCCCAUGCAGUCUUUUCCUCUUCCGAGUCAGAUGAUGUUGAGCUUGAGUUUUUUCCCGGAUGAAAGAUUUCAUCCAAUGGGUCUACAGAAUCUGUACUUCUAAAGCAGAAGCACCAGGAUUAGUCUGUAGGACAUACACUAGUCAGUGAUUAGGCAAUAUUUUACUACUUUGUCCCCAUGAAUACACACUCCGACAAGCUACUAUCUCCACCCUUCACCCUUGUGUCAAUAGAUCAUGCAUACUAACCUUCACACACAGUACCCACUUCCAACAGACACCAGUCACCCACACCAUCCCCUCUUCACGAAGAACUAUGCUUUUCUCCGAUUUACACUUCAAGCUUUGCAUAAACAAUCAAUUAAUGCUGCAAUAUGUAACUUUUUGGGUGACUCACCAAAUUCACAUAAUUUGUUUUAACUAGGCAAGUCAGUUAAGAACAAAAUCAAAUUUGUAAUGAUGGCCAACAGUGGGUUAACUGCCUUGUUCAGGGGCAGAACGACAGAUUUCUAUCUUGUCAGCUUGGGGAUUCGAUCCAGCAACCUAUCAAUUACUGGCCCAAUUCUCUAACCACUAGGCUACCUGCCACCCCGAAAAUGUGAGUUAUAGAUCUGUCAUUCUCAUUGAAAGCAAGUCUAACAAGCGGUAGAUAAACUCUGCAGAAAAAGAAACGUCCUCUCACUGUCAACUGCGUUUAUUUUCAGCAAACUUAACAUGUGUAAAUAUUUGUAAGGACAUAACAAGAUUCAACAACUGAGACGUAAACUGAACAAGUUCCACAGACAUGUGACUAACAGAAAUUGAAUAAUGCAUUUCCACCAGAGCUGUUGCCAGAGAAUUUAAUGUUCAUUUCUCUACCAUAAGUCACCUCCAACGUCGUUUUAGACAAUUUGUCAGUAUGUCCAACUGGCCUCACAACCGCAGACCACGUAUAACCAAGGCAGCCCAGGACUUCCACAUCCGGCUUCUUCACCUGUGGGAUCAUCUGACCAGCCACCCAGACAGCUGAUGAGUCUGAAGAGUAUUUCUGUCUGUAAUAAAGCGCAUUUGUGGGGAAAAAUGUAUUCUGUUUGCCUGGGCAAUGUCCCCCUUUGAAAUCUCAAGAUUAUGGCUUAAUGAAUUUAUUUCAAUUGACUGAUUUCGUUAUAUAAACUGUAACUCGUUGAAAUUGUUGCGUUAGCUUGCAUUAGCUUGCAUUAGCUUGCAAAGGUACAAAUCACAUCGCCAGAUAGCAGCUGGCUAAUUACAUUGAUUUGCUUUGGAAUGUCUAGCCAGUGUAUCAUGAAAUAUAGCUAGAUUUUUGUUUAGAUAAACAAAUGUAGUUCGUUAGGUAGCUAGGUUAGCUAUGUUCCUUCUCCUUGACACAUUAGUAAGGUAACAGAUGAAAUGAUACCCCAACAGGCUGUGCUUGCUUCUAGUUUGCACAUCAAGGUACUGAGCACCCACCAUGACUAAACUUUACAGUUGUUAUCGACAUACAAAGAAAAAGAAAAAGUUAUAUUAUAUGAAUGAGUGGCUGUCCUGUAAGUAACAUUAGCCACCUCAACAGGGGAGGUACUUCGUCCUUAAAUUGCUAUGAAUUCUGGAUAUUGUUGUUUGGUUACAACCAGGAAACACUUUUAUGGUUACUACAUGAUUCCAUACAGUAUGUGUUAUUUCAUAGUUCUGAUGCCGUCACUAUUAUUCUACAGUGUAGAAAAUGGUAAAAAUAAAGAAAAACCCUU
rnacentral:lncRNA from 1 species